rnacentral:rRNA from 1 species
AGCAGCCGCGGUAAUUCCAGCUCCAAUAGCGUAUAUUAAAGUUGUUGCCGUUAAAAAGCUCGUAGUUGAACCUUGGGCCUGGCUGACCUGUCCUCCUAAUCGAGCGCACGGGUUCGGUCGGGCCUUUCCUUCUGGGGAUCCCGAUGCCCUUCACUGGGCGUCGUGGGGAACCAGGACUUUUACCUUGAAAAAAUUAGGGUGUUCAAAGCAGGCCUUUGCUCGAAUACAUUAGCAUGGAAUAAUAGAAUAGGACAGAGGUUCUAUUUUGUUGGUUUCUAGGACCGCUGUAAUGAUUAAUAGGGAUAGUCGGGGGCGUCCGUAUUCAAUCGUCAGAGGUGAAAUUCUUGGAUUUAUUGAAGACGAACUACUGCGAAAGCAUUCGCCAAGGAUGUUUUCAUCAAUCAGUGAACGAAAGUUAGGGGAUCGAAGACGAUCAGAUACCGUCGUAGUCUUAACCAUAAACUAUG